UACGUAGGGUGCGAGCGUUAAUCGGAAUUACUGGGCGUAAAGCGUGCGCAGGCGGUUUUGUAAGCCAGAUGUGAAAGCCCCGGGCUUAACCUGGGAAUGGCAUUUGGGACUGCAAGGCUUGAGUGCGGCAGAGGAGACUGGAAUUCCUGGUGUAGCAGUGAAAUGCGUAGAUAUCAGGAGGAAUACCGAUGGCGAAGGCCGGUCUCUGGGCUGACACUGACGCUCAUGCACGAAAGCGUGGGGAGCAAACAGG
rnacentral:rRNA from 1 species